CUGGAGAAGUGUUACUCAAAGGACAGACACGAUGAGGAUGGCCAUCACUGUACCCUCCACUGUGGGACCAUGUUUUUAACCUGCACCUUUGCCUGCAUAUCUCGUGGCUGGCUGCCUCUGUAUGCUGUGGUUCCUUUUUUUGACUUCUUUGACCCAAAGGCAUCUGGAAUCUCUUGAAAGCAUUAAUUACGCCUUCCGCUCUUUGCACGGAGGAGGACCCGUGUGGUCGUCACCAUGGCAGGACAUCUCAGCUCUCUGGGAAAGAGCACUGGACCAGAGCCAGGCGACGGGGUGCCAGCUUCAGCUCUUGCCUAUACAGCGGUUCUUGGGCAAAUGCCCUAACCAGAGUCUUGGUUUUCUUAUGUUACAAUUUGGAGAAACAAUAAUGAAAUUGUAGACCUUGUGAAGUACUUGCUGGUGUCAGAUAUUGAGGGCUACAUCUGCUUUAUCUCAGGAAGCCAGCAUGAUACCUCAGGGGGCAGGUACAAAAGGGGGUCCAUUUUGCAGAUGAGAAAACUAAGUCCUG
ensembl:lncRNA